UGCUCUUGCAUUAAUUGUACAGUAAUUUUAACCUAUAAAAGUGACAACCUUUAACCUUUAAUCUUAACUUUUAAAAUGACAAAUUGUUUAAUUAUUUAAAUACGUAUAUAAUUGCGAUACACGAGUCUAAUGUAUUAUUUUUCUGAUAGACAUCCGUACGGAACGUGAAGAAAUGGGAAAAUAACAAACACCUUGCCUUUUUUUGACAGCCUGUCUCCUACAACACACUAAACUUUAUUGUACGCUAUAUCUUUGAUUUUACAAUAGUACAGCCAUUUAUAGAAUAUCGUUAUUAUAACUUAUAAGUUAUACGUACGGAUAUAAGUGGGCAUUAAUGUACCGAUAUUCGCAUAGCGGGUAACAAUAUAUCUAACUUUGUUGUCUCUAAAAAUACAUCCAGGUUUACAAAUAAUCUUAAAAUUGCUGACACCGAUCGUAUUUGACAAUCGUGCGCUUUUUGAGAAGUACGACUAGCUUCGCGAUCCAAAGGAUAUUCUGCACACGGUGUCAAAAAUGAAGUUAAAAGAUGCUUGAAGACAGAUACUUCCGUAUUCUUCAUCAAACAUCACAUCUACAUUUUCCCAUAACUGUUAGUUUAAGGAAGAAUUAGCAACUACCAGCAAUUAUCUUCAAGCGUGAAGGCAUCUCUGACGCCUUUGCAUAACUAUAUACCGGCAUGCAAACAGUAAAAUAUCGGAAAUCGAAUCCAAGGGCGAAACUGGGCGUACUUUUUUCGAGCGGCAACACUUUGAAAACCAUUGAAAUGGAAGCGGUUCACUGUGCCAUGUGCCAUGAAAUAUCCUCUAGCCGGAAUUCUUUUAUAUUUUCAUUUACACAACGCAACUAAACUAUUUCCUAUAUGUAAAAUGACCUCUCCUUGACUCUUCUGCAUAAUGCAUAAAUUGCUGCGUAAAAUCGGUCAAAAAUAAUCUCUGUAUAGAAUUAUUGGCACAGAAAAAUUGUAAUGUAAGUUAUAUAUAUGUAUUUGCAAUUCACAAUAUGGUGCAUUAAUGAUGAGAUUUCAAUAUUCAAAUUAAACAUUAAUAAAUAAUGUUAUAGAUAAAUGCAACAGAAGAUAUAUUUUGGACGCUCAUUGCAUGCAACAUAUUUAAUGUUUCAUGUCGUACUGUUAAAUGGAAUUAAUAAUGGGCACACACGAAAACUUUCAAGUGGAUACAUUCUAUUCAUUGAAACGUUUAACAUAUUAGAACCGCUUAUUUCCUGUAUUACGAACGAGGAUAUUACCUGCCACUCAAGCUUACCGCUGUAUGUUGAUUUUUAUUAGUAAAUAGUAUGUAAUGAACGCACUCUCUAAUCGAGCAGCGUCCUUUAUAAUAAUUGCGAAGGUCGUAAAGCAUCGGAUCCGAUGAAUGUCAAUCUGCUCUUAAACCUUGUCAAUUUUAUCAAAAUUAAAUCAAUACAUUGUAUGUUUCGCUUUAAAUGACAGUAAAAAUUGUAGAUUUUAGAUGCAUUUAUAUUACAUAGUUUUAUCAGCCAGAUACUAUAAAAUGUAUUUUCAAGAGCAGGAUUUGCCAGCGUCUGCGAUCCGAAUGCUUUGCAAUUACUCUGGAUGUCUUAAGGACUAAAUCGUAAGAUUAUUCAGUGUACAUUUAUCGAUUACGAGCUAGUACCAUUUCGGCAAACAGAGUAAAUAACGUUUUCUUAGUGUACCGAUCAUUUGGUAGUCUUAUUCGUAGAAAGGACAUCGAACAUCGAAGACGAUUAUUUAGAAAAGAGGGAUUGUACCUGGAUAUUCAGAACAGUUAAAGGAUGAACGAGGGCAAGGCACAAGUGAGUCGGAGGAGAAAUUAUUUUGGAUGAAACUAAUCUCUGUGUCUUAAUCGUUUUCCAUUACGUUCCCUUCUGUCGCGAUCAAGAUCGAGACACAUCGCGAGAUAUACAUACAUAUAUAUAUAUUAUUAUAUAUAGUCAGACACUGCCGACGUGAUUAUUAAUCGAGAACUAAUGCUAAUAGCAGGACGAACGUCUUAUACUAUUGUGUUGUGACAUUCUCGCGUCCUUUUUUUCCGUGAAUAUUUCGACAUAGCGCAUUAAUAAUUCAUUUCUUUGGUCUGACCUUUUAGCUAAAAUGAAAAAACAUUGAAUAUAUAUGUAUAUUCCGUAUAGGUGGAUCUUUUGCGUUGAGAAAAAAUUUCAUUGAUAUAAUUUAAAGAAAGAGGGAUAUAUAACAAGUAAAUGAAGAAUGAUAGAUCGUAUCUAUCUCACGAAAUAUAUAAACAAUAGAAAGUUGCAGGUUCCAAAAUCUGUAAAAUAAAAAAAUGUGAGAUUUGAAAGCGUUAGAUCUAUAAAAUGCAUAUUUUAAAACAAAAAAUUACUAAAACACAAAAUCUGUAAAAUCUAAAAUUAACGUAUUAUAAACUUGAGGACCUAAAAUUAAGAAAGAUCCCUGAUAGGAAAAGAAACACCUGCGAAAAUUUUCAGAAUGAAUUCGUAAAGACUACGCCGCGAUAAUUAUAAAUCCUAGAUUGAAUUGAAUUAUAAAUUCUUAAUCUGAGGAAUCAAAGUAUGUAUAUAUAUAUAGAAAUAAAAUUUCUGUCCAAAACCCGAUUUACGCUACAUGGAUUUUUAUCAAUUGCUUCGGUCAAUUGAUCACGCGUAGAAAAUCGCUACGUGACAAAUGCAUAACCGAAGUAUAUCCUAACUCGAUAGCAGUCUUCCUCCGCACUCUAUUUUUUCGUGUCUCAUACAAUCGAUCGAACCAAAAUAUGCGCUAUACUGUUCAAGAAUUAUGCUUACUAUAAUUCUUGCUUACCGUGUAAGAGCGAUAGAAUAGUGUACAUUAAUUGCACAUUUAAGACUGCCACUGCCUAGAUACUUUCAUUGCGAAACGUUUAUUGUUGAAUUUAGCUAAAUGUUAAUUGAAGGGCAUGCCACGCUCAGCGGCUAAAAAUUACAAAAUUUGAUUAAAUUUAACAUAAAAAAAAUAUUGACAUGAUAAAAUAGUUAAAAAAAUAAUUUAGAUUUUAUAUGCGCUAGGAAUCAAUCAACAAACAUUAAUUGUAUUAUCUAAUUAUAUCUAACGCAAUAUUUGAUUUUAGUUAUCAGUACUAAACCCUAAUAAUUUUAAUUAACAUUGACAAUUACGUGGGAAUGGAGAUUUCGCGUCAAACGUAUCAUGAGAAUACACAGUAUUGAUUCUGAUUGAAAUUUAACUAUCUAAUCGUACAUUGAAAAAUAGGGAAAUAAAAUGCGAAACGAAAAUAUGUGUGAACACAACAAAUUAUUAUAAUCUCUCUAUUUACAGAACAGAAGUAUGAUCGAUGGCAAACGGAACCAAUCGUCGAUUAAAGAAUACAAAUGAGAGAUACAACUGAGAAUACACAUAAACCAGGCCGUCGCGUUGUGCAACGCACGGAAAUAUAAUAACAAUGGGACAAUUAAACAUUGAUGAGAUAAUCGGAUAGAGCUGUCGUCGAUAGCGGCAACAGUAACGCUUAGAAUAACGAAACGGUAUGCCGUCGAUCGAGUUACCUUAAUUAAGCUAAGAGGGAAGACAAAAUUAUUUGUACGCGAUGCGACUACUCUCAAUAUGUAAAGUAGAUAACGUAUACAUCUGUAUAUGCAUACUCUACUAAACGUACAACACCAUCAGGCAUUUAUACAUUCGCACUAUCGAUCGCUACUACGUUACAAUCGUCAACGACUUUGUUCUCUCUCUCUCUCUUUCUCUCUUCGCACUUUCUCCUUUUUUUGGCGUAUUUUUUGUCACUACGAAUAGUCACACUCACGUAGAUACACCUAAGCGAGCAUUCUACGACGCUACAUUACAACUCCAAUGAUCGAGCUCUCGAUCACAAAGCGGGUACAGAAUCGUUGAACAUAAGAUUCGCGCUGUGUUAAAUGCAGUUAACAGUACAUCCGCGUUUUGUAUAUAUAAAUCAAAACAUACCACCGGCCGCUAGCGUACACGUACAGUAUCGUAAGGCAAAAUUCGUCGGAAUAAAAUUCUUCAACUCAGACAAUAACGCAAGCUCUAUAGAUUCACGAGAAUCUCGUCGUUGCAUCUUAUGUACAUCGAGUUACUCUAUUUCAUUGUCGGUUGAGAAUUAGCGAUACAGUCACUACGAACAUCGAUAAACAAUUCAAAAUGCGGCUCUCAUGCGUAGCAACAGCAUAUGUAACAAAUUUUAAUAUCUUCGCAACAUUGGUGCACAGCCUAAUCGACCGCCGUUUACACAAGAAUAUUUCGAGAUAUUUCGAAAUUCUCGCAAGCAUUGAGGGAGACUGGUAUAUAUUUCGUUUCUGUUUUCUUCGUAGAUAUAUCCGUGUCAAAAGAGCUUCUCUACUUUCGAUGCAAGAUUAAGAAGAAUAAUACAAUCCGAACAAACACGGAGAAUCGUUGUUAAAAGAUUCUUAUUACAUAGCUCAAAAGGCAAAGAUACGAGAUAAAGGUAGAUAGUGAAAUAUCUUAGAGGUAAAUCUGCUGUAAGAAAUUUUAUGCUUGCAAGUUUCGACAUGAUGGCGGCGGACGUUUAGACGCUCCAACUUGAAUUUCAACAAGUGAAAAGUGCAAUAAUUUUGAAAAAAGAAGAAAAAAACGGAAAUAUACAUAGCUGAGCCAAAUCACUACGUUUUUAGGCCAUUUGAAA